rnacentral:rRNA from 1 species
AUUGAACGCUGGCGGCAUGCCUUACACAUGCAAGUCGAACGGCAGCAUGAUCUAGCUUGCUAGAUUGAUGGCGAGUGGCGAACGGGUGAGUAAUACAUCGGAACGUGCCCUGUUGUGGGGGACAACUAGUCGAAAGAUUAGCUAAUACCGCAUACGACCUGAGGGUGAAAGUGGGGGACCGCAAGGCCUCAUGCUAUAGUAGCGGCCGAUGUCUGAUUAGCUAGUUGGUGAGGUAAAGGCUCACCAAGGCGACGAUCAGUAGCUGGUCUGAGAGGACGAGCCGCCACACUGGGACUGAGACACGGCCCAGACUCCUACGGGAGGCAGCAGUGGGGAAUUUUAGACAAUGGGCGAAAGCCUGGUCCAGCAAUGCCGCGUGUGUGAAGAAGGCCUUCGGGUUGUAAAGCACUUUUGUCCGGAAAGAAAUGGCUCUGGUUAAUACCUGGGGUCGAUGACGGUACCGGAAGAAUAAGGACCGGCUAACUACGUG